rnacentral:rRNA from 1 species
AUUGAACGCUGGCGGCAGGCUUAACACAUGCAAGUCGAACGAGUGGCGGACGGGUGAGUAAUGCUUGGGAAUCUAGCUUAUGGAGGGGGAUAACUACGGGAAACUGUAGCUAAUACCGCGUACCAUAGGACGAGCCCAAGUGGGAUUAGGUAGUUGGUGAGGUAAAGGCUCACCAAGCCGACGAUCUCUAGCUGGUCUGAGAGGAUGACCAGCCACACUGGGACUGAGACACGGCCCAGACUCCUACGGGAGGCAGCAGUGGGGAAUCUUCCGCAAUGGACGAAAGUCUGACGGAGCAACGCCGCGUGAGUGAUGACGGCCUUCGGGUUGUAAAGCUCUGUUAAUCGGGACGCGGUACCGGAAUAGAAAGCCACGGCUAACUACGUGCCAGCAGCCGCGGUAAUAC